UGUAUGUAAACGAGAAAAAAAAAUUGUUACGAGCGAAAUGGUCUUCAGCUUUUCUUUAACCCCUUCCGUUCACUUUUUAGUUUGUUUGAUUUGUGCUAAUGGUUUUCUUGACCUUGAGAUUUUAGGUUGAAGAAUGCUACGCAAGGCGGUACCAUGCAAGGAUCUGCUAUGGAGACCUAAUGAUUUGAAGGCUCAAGUUUAUAAUUUAGAUGCAAGUUUUGAAGACCUGGUACAAACAAGUCGACAAACUGGUUUGUUUUAGUUGGAAUGUUGGGCAAAUCACUUUGUUGUUAUUUAUAGGAUUAUGUAGGCUUGUUGAGAUUCACAUCGUAGGAUGUGAAGACUCUUUUUGUUAUGGAUUGCAAAUUUCAUAUUACUAGUUUAGUGUACGUGCGUUGCACGUGUAUGUCAUGAUAAUAUUAUUAACGUAAAUAUUAUAGGUGUAUGAAAUUUGGUGUUCGAAAUCUA